UUAAUUAAAGAAGCACAAAACGUAAAAGCCCAAGAAUAGCCUCGGACUCCAUCUCUUCACGUCUCUACAGUUAUUCUUCGUCGUUUCUGCAGAGUCAUAGCGUCGCCGCCGUCACCGUUGCCGCCGCUGCUGCAAGAGCUCUCGCCUCUUUUGUUCUCUCUGUGAAAGAUAAAGCUUAAUUUUAUUCUACCACUUAUAUUCAUCAAGCUUAAUCUUGGAACUACACGAUGUUGUUGGAUGAGAGCGAGUUUGAUGUCCACUUGAAGCUUUGGGUGCUUCGAAUUCCUUGCCAACAUUGCAAACUCGCCACUCGAAUACUCAAUGGUUACAUGCUUGAUAAGCCCCGGGUUAAACCCAUCACUGAGGACCCGACAUCUCGUAAAAACCGUUACAUUAUUCUCUCCGAGAAAGUUCAGAACCAAGAUUUAUCUGAUAUUCCGAAGGAAAAGCUCGAUGAGCUUAAGGGCUUGUGUGAGAUUGAAGUUUUUCCCUACUCAUUAACACUAGGGUAUUCAUAUUGGAGUGCUGAUCAUGUGCUUAAGCAGAUACUGCCUGCUGGAGUUGAGGUUCCCUCAUCCUUUGAAACAAUAGGUCAAAUUGCCCAUUUAAACCUACACGAUGAAUUACUUCCCUACAAAGAUGUUAUUGCAAAGGUUAUUUUUGAUAAAAACUAUCCAAGAAUCAAAACCGUUGUUAAUAAAGUGGGAACCAUUACAAAUGAAUUUCGUGUUCCAGAAUUUGAAGUUUUAGCAGGAGAACAUGAUAUGGUUACAGAAGUGAAGCAAUAUGGUGCCACUUUUAAGCUUGAUUACAGUUUGGUUUAUUGGAAUUCUAGAUUGGAACAUGAACAUAAAAGAUUGGUUUCUCUGUUCCAACCUGGAGAGAUCAUUUGCGAUAUGUUUGCGGGUAUAGGUCCUUUUGCAAUUCCUGCAGCCCAAAAAGGAUGCCUAGUCUAUGCAAAUGAUUUGAAUCCAGAUAGCAUUCACUAUCUGAGGAUCAAUGCCAAAGUCAACAAGGUCGAAGAUCGCAUAUAUGCAUACAACACGGAUGCUAGAAAAUUCAUCUCCCAGCUGAUGGAGAUGCCAACUUCUGACGUUAAAUUAGAAUGUAAUGUUCCAUGUCUGAAUACAUGUGAGUCAUGCAACACAAAAGAUGAUGUUGAAACAAGUGCAGAAACUGCCUUGCUAAUUGUUGAUAGAAAGGGCAUAGGAGAUCGCAAUAACAACAGUUUAGAGGAUGUAGAAUGUCCAUCAAAGCAUGAUGAUACAUCUGUAACUUCUGCUAAGAGAUCUUCUAGUAGUUCCCAUGAAGAGAAUGGAAAGAUUCGUGAAACUGAUAGCUUUGAAGGUGGCGGGAAAAGAGGAAGCCAAAACAAGAGAAUGAGAGGUUCCGAGUUCACUGACACAAAAACUUGGGAGCAUAUUGACCACGUAAUAAUGAACCUACCAGCAUCAGCUGUUCAGUUUCUAGAUGCAUUUAGGGGAUUAAUCCAGAGGAAAUAUUGGAAAGGAAAUCUACCAUGGGUCCACUGCUAUUGCUUCAUUAGAGCAACUGAAACUCCAGAGACGAUAAUAGCUGUGAGUUCCUUCUACUAAUGGUGGCAGAGUCUGCUUUGAGUGCCUGUAUACAAGACCCAAUAUUUCAUCGGGUUAGGGAUGUAGCUCCAAACAAGGCAAUGUUUUGUUUAAGCUUCAGGUUGCCAGAAGCAUGCUGUAGGGAAGAUGAUCAAUAACAAGAGCAUGCUUUCUUGUUGCUGCUGAAGAGAUAUUAGCUUUGAAUGAUUUAUUGCUCUAGUUUUCCGGGUAUAACAGGGCCAUGCUUGUGUUUAGAUCGAUUCAAUUCCGUGCCAUGCUAUCUGACUCAGAAAAGCAUAUUAAAAGUGAAAAAUCAGCAAAAAGAAUAGGUCACUCUUCAAAUUGUUUCCGUUUCCUCUUUUCCCUCCUUCAAAAUGAAACUUUUCACACACACACAUACACACACUAACUCUAGGGGCUUGUUGAUUCUUCUAGAAAGAAGUUCUUAGCUUGCCUAAUCAUAUGUUGUGAUGAAGUAGUGACUGUUUUGAGCAAUGAUUAAAGCUGUAGAUAUUUCCCCAAUUAUAUGAGAGUUAGUAUUUUACAGCAUCCUACUUUAAGUUUUCAAGCUUUCCUUAGUGAUUGAUAAAAAAUGUUGGGAUAUAACUUUGG